CUACGGGUGGCAGCAGUCGCGAAUCAUUUACAAUGCACGAAAGUGUGAUAAUGCGAGCCAAAGUGUUUUUCGUAUAGAAAAACUUUUUCUUACUGUAAAAAUGUAGGAGAAUAAGGACUGGGAAAGACCGGUGCCAGCCGCCGCGGUAAUACCGGCAGUUCAAGUCGCAUCCCUUUUUAUUGGUGUCUAAAACAUCCGUAGCUUGUUUAUUAAGUCUCUUGUGAAAUCCCACGUCUCAAGCGUGGGGCUUGCAGGGGAUACUGGUAGACUAGAGAUCGGUAGACGUAAGGAGUACGCCGGAGGUAGUGGUAAAAUACGUUAAUCUUCGGUGGACUAACAAUCAGCGAAGGCACCUUACGAGGACGAAUCUGACAGUGAGGGAUGAAGGCCAGGGGCGCAAAACGGAUUAGUACCCGAGUAGUC
rnacentral:rRNA from 1 species